rnacentral:rRNA from 1 species
CAAUAGCGUAUAUUAAAGUUGUUGCGGUUAAAAAGCUCGUAGUUGGAUUUCUGCCGAGGACGACCGGUCCGCCCUCUGGGUGAGUAUCUGGCUCGGCCUGGGCAUCUUCUUGGAGAACGUAGCUGCACUUGACUGUGUGGUGCGGUAUCCAGGACUUUUACUUUGAGGAAAUUAGAGUGUUUCAAGCAGGCUUACGCCUUGAAUACAUUAGCAUGGAAUAAUAAGAUAGGACCUCGGUUCUAUUUUGUUGGUUUCUAGAGCUGAGGUAAUGAUUAAUAGGGAUAGUUGGGGGCAUUCGUAUUUAACUUUCAGAGGUGAAAUUCUUGGAUUUGUUAAAGACGGACUACUGCGAAAGCAUUUGCCAAGGAUGUUUUCAUUGA